GACGAGCUAAAUUGAGGCGUGGUUUGAGUUUCGCGGACGAAACUCUUUUUAAGGGGUAGAGAAUGUAACAUACCGGAUUUUGAUAUAAAAGUAAAAAUAAAUAAAAAUAUUAUGAGAUACUAUUUUUAUUGGAUUUAGUGGAGUAAAAUAUAAGUCAGAAAUGACUUGUGCUGAAAUCGGAACGAAAACAGAAAAUUUAGAAUUUUCUGUGAAAGACGGGGCUGAUAUUUUAGCAGAAAAUGCACAGUGUCAGAAAAUUAUAAAAACUGGAGAGUAUGUCAGAAUUAUUUUUAUAAGGCUAGAUUUAAAGUUUCAUGUCAUUCUGACAUCCGAAAAGUGAAAAAUAAAAUCCGACUGCUAUCUGCUAGAGAUUUCAAUUCGGUAGAGCUUUCGGUGACCAAAUAUGGUCGAAACUGAAAGAUUAAAAUUUCUUUCGUUAAGUAAAACCGAGCCUGACUGUCAAAUUU
rnacentral:lncRNA from 1 species